rnacentral:rRNA from 1 species
GCAGUUAAAAAGCUCGUAGUUGGAUUUCGGAUUGGGCCCGUCGGUCCGCCGCAAGGUGAGUCACUGACUGGUUUGAUCUUCUUCGCAAAGACUGCGUGUGCUCUUCGCUGAGUGUGCGUAGGAUUUACGACGUUUACUUUGAAAAAAUUAGAGUGUUCAAAGCAGGCUUUAGCUUGAAUACAUGAGCAUGGAAUAAUGGAAUAGGACUUUGGUUCUAUUUUGUUGGUUUCUAGGACCGAAGUAAUGAUUAAGAGGGACAAUUGGGGGCAUCCGUAUUUCGUUGUCAGAGGUGAAAUUCUUGGAUUUACGAAAGACGAACAACUGCGAAAGCACUUGCCAAGAGUGUUUUCAUUAAUCAAGAACGAAAGUUAGAGGAUCGAAGACGAUCAGAUACCGUCCUAGUUCUAACCAUAAACGAUGUCGACUAGGGAUCAGCGGGCGUUAUCGUACGACCCCGUUGGCACCUUACGGGAAACCAAAGUUUUUGGAUUCCGGGGGAAGUAUGGUUGCAAAGCUG